rnacentral:rRNA from 1 species
AGUCGUAACAAGGUCUCCGUUGGUGAACCAGCGGAGGGAUCAUUGCUGGAACGCGCCCUAGGCGCACCCAGAAACCCUUUGUGAACUUAUACCUUACUGUUGCCUCGGCGCAUGCCGGCCCCCUCGGGGCCCCCUGGAGACAGGGAGCAGGCACGCCGGCGGCCAAGUUAACUCUUGUUUUUACACUGAAACUCUGAGAAAAAACACAAAUGAAUCAAAACUUUCAACAACGGAUCUCUUGGUUCUGGCAUCGAUGAAGAACGCAGCGAAAUGCGAUAAGUAAUGUGAAUUGCAGAAUUCAGUGAAUCAUCGAAUCUUUGAACGCACAUUGCGCCCUCUGGUAUUCCGGAGGGCAUGCCUGUUCGAGCGUCAUUUCAACCCUCAAGCAUUGCUUGGUGUUGGGGCACUGCUUUUAACGAAGCAGGCCCUGAAAUCUAGUGGCGAGCUCGCCAGGACCCCGAGCGCAGUAGUUAAACCCUCGCUCUGGAAGGCCCUGGCGGUGCCCUGCCGUUAAACCCCCAACUUCUGAAAAUUUGACCUCGGAUCAGGUAGGAAUACCCGCUGAACUUA